UUUCUUUCUUGAACAACCGCAACAACCGCCACUACUCGCAAAUCGUCUGAAACAUCCUUGCACUUCGCCGGAGAAAUCGGAGUCUCAUCGGAGCCACGAACACACCUAAUCUUACGUCGAGCGCAAAUCGGAACUCGUGUUUCACCGUGAUCGGUUGAUUGAUCAAGAUACAAGAAAACAAGCUAGGACGGCUUUAGAAACCCAUUCUAGAAAUAAACUAUUGUUUGAAUUUAUGUUUGAAUGUUUGAAACUUUGUAUUGUCCUUUGGAAAUUAAUAAAAUGAUUUAAUUCAUAUUGUCACAUUUAGUGUUAUGUUGUUUUGAGCAAUUUGUUCGUCUCAUCCCGAUGUUUCCGCCAUCGGUUGGAGUGUGACACCAGGAAGAUGGGAAACCGACUUCCUUUACUAGAUAUGCCAGCGUUGUUCUAG
rnacentral:lncRNA from 1 species